rnacentral:rRNA from 1 species
AGAGUUUGAUUCUGGCUCAGGACGAACGCUGGCGGCAUGCCUAACACAUGCAAGUCGAACGAGAUAGCAAUAUCUAGUGGCGAACGGGUGAGUAACACGUGAGCAAUCUGCCCCAUAUACAGGGAUAACAGUUAGAAAUGACUGCUAAUACCGGAUAAGACCACAGUCUGGCAUCGGACAGGGGUCAAAGCGAUUUAGCGAUAUGGGAUGAGCUCGCGUCCAACUAGCUAGUUGGUGAGGUAACGGCCCACCAAGGCGACGAUUGGUAGCCGACCUGAGAGGGUGAUCGGCCACAUUGGAACUGAGACACGGUCCAAACUCCUACGGGAGGCAGCAGUGGGGAAUAUUGGGCAAUGGAGGAAACUCUUACCCAAGCAAUGCCGCGUGAGUGAUGAAGGUCCUCUGGAUUGUAAAACUCUUUGAUUAGGGACGAACGAAUGACGGUACCUAAAGAACAAGCCCCGGCUAACUAUGUGCCAGCCGCUGC